rnacentral:lncRNA from 1 species
UACUCUCUGUGGCAUGAUAUCACGCAGCUUGCACUUGGGUAUGGACCUUUCUGAUGUCACCGGGUGAGGGAUUAAGUCAUAAUUAUGUAUAUCUAAAUUAUCUUCCAGCAAACCCACUGGCGGUUCUUCAUUAACAUCACAGCAGGCUUUAAUUCCAGCAGAAGACUGAUCACCCUUCAGCUGCCCAACAUCCAGCCUGAAGAAUAUGUUUGGAAUUAAGCAGGGAUCUUGGUUGAAAAGAACAUCACCAGCCUAGCCUGGGCCUUUCUAACCAAGAAGCGCCAGGUCCUAAAACCUAGGAAGACUUUUCUGACCUUCCCCUGAAGCAGGCCUAAGACCCUCCUGUGUGAGAGCAGGCUGGGCGAUACAGCGAGACCCUGCCUCGAAAACACCGUCACCACCACCACCACAAACAACAGCAAAACCCCACCCAGGUUUAAUUACUUCUUCAGGGUUCCAGACAAUGAACCUAAGAUAGAUAGAAGGAAAAGAUAAGUUGCCUCCCCUACAAAGGCUAAGGCAACAUGUUGAGCCAAGAUACACCAGAUUCUAGAACCUGAGCAUUUAGCUUCAACCUCUUGGGGUUAUCUCCAGCCUCCAACUGGUGGGGGUCAGCCCCUGAACCAAAUAUAAAAAGAAGCUUGAGAUUCAUACCUUUGAAGAUGAUUCUUUAGGACACCAGUCUGCCAUCUUCUCAGUCUGCUGGCUUCCUGAAAUAAA